AAGUGACUGAACAGACGACUACAGGGGCAGAAGAGGUUCAGUAGCUCAGUGCACGGUAAAGUACAGUAUGAUGUAGUAGAAGAAAGGAUGAGGGAGAGGACAGAGAGGGAUUUGUUUGGAGGCAGCUGAACGUUUUCUCUUCCCCGAUGUAGAGGGAUUAUGCAGCUGCAAUGAAAUGAUGAGUUAGGGAUGUCCAACAGAUAUAUACAAUGUACAAGGUCCUGUAGCCAGUAUGGAUUACUCUUCUUUUUGACAGUAUCAGACUGCUGACCCUUAAUUGAAAGACAAGAGGAUGAUUUGUGGGAGAUCUUGUAGUCACAUAUUCUCUUCUGAGUUCCUGAAAACUGAUCCAGAGCAUUAACAGAGAAAUGGAAUAAGUAUUUGAAGAAUGAUCAUCAUACAAGAAGUGUUUCCUUGGUGAAUGAUGGUGUAUAGUAAAAUGCUUUAAGGUGCUACAAAAAAUAAAGAUUUUGU